rnacentral:misc_RNA from 1 species
GCUCCGUUGGUGAACCAGCGGAGGGAUCAUACCGAGUUUACAACUCCCAAACCCCAUGUGAACCUUACCAAACGUUGCUUCGGCGGGAUGCCCCGGGCGCGGGCCGCAAGGCCUCAGCCCCGGAACCAGGCGCCCGCCGGAGGCCCAAACCAAACUCUUGUUUUUGUAGAAUCUUCUGAGUGGCCUUUUAGGCAAAAAAUGAAUCAAAACUUUCAACAACAGAUCUCUUGGUUCUG